rnacentral:rRNA from 1 species
UACGUAGGGGGCAAGCGUUGUCCGGAUUUAUUGGGCGUAAAGAGCGUGUAGGCGGUCCGGUAAGUCUGCUGUGAAAGUCGGGGGCUCAACCCUCGAAUGCCGGUGGAUACUGUCGGGCUAGAGUACGGUAGAGGGGGAUGGAAUUCCGCGUGUAGCAGUGAAAUGCGUAGAUAUGCGGAGGAACACCGAUGGCGAAGGCAAUCCCCUGGACCUGUACUGACGCUCAUGCACGAAAGCGUGGGGAGCAAACAGG